rnacentral:tRNA from 1 species
CGUAAAAUAGUUUAAUAAUAAAAUAUUGGUUUUGUAAACAAAGUUAUGCUUUAAUGU